rnacentral:tRNA from 1 species
GGGCUGCUAGCUCAACUGGCAGAGCAGCGGACUUUUAAUCCGCGGGUUGUGGGUUCGAGCCCCACGCGGCCCA